rnacentral:rRNA from 1 species
CCCUUAGAUGUUCUGGGCUGCACGCGCGCUACACUGACGCACGCAACAGGUGCCUGCUCCGAGAGGACUGGGUAAUCAUUUGAGUGUGCGUCGUGAUGGGGAUAGAAUAUUGUAAUUAUUACUCUUCAACGAGGAAUUCCUAGUAAGCGCAAGUCAGCAGCUUGCGCUGAUUACGUCCCUGCCCUUUGUACACACCGCCCGUCGCUCCUACCGAUGGGUGAUCCGGUGAAUGAUUCGGACUUCAGCGGCUCCUCUGGGGUGCGCCGGAGAAAGUUUUGUGAACCUGAUCACUUGGAGGAAGGAGAAGUCGUAACA